UUAGGGAUAUUCGUCAAUGGGGGAAACCCUGAACGAGCAAUGCCGCGUGAAGGAAGAAGGUCCUAUGGAUUGUAAACUUCUGUUGUAAGGGAAGAAAGAGUAGAAGAGGAAAUGCUUCUAAAGUGACAGUACCUUACGAGAAAGCUCCGGCUAACUACGUGCCAGCAGCCGCGGUAAUACGUAGGGAGCGAGCGUUAUCCGGAUUUAUUGGGUGUAAAGGGUGCGUAGGCGGUAAUACAGGUCUGCGGUAUAAGUCCGAAGCUUAACUUCGGUUCGCCGCAGAAACCGUAUAACUAGAGUAUG
rnacentral:rRNA from 1 species